CGUAUAGUUUUUUUAAUCGUUAUCAUAUUAUGUACAAUCAUAUUAUUAUAGGCAGGUACCUAGGUAAAAAUUCCAAGCAAAAAUUAAUAAUAAAAUCAUGUAAGUAUUUAACAAAUAUGCAGUUAGAAUUGCACUCUAUAGUUCGUUUGUCAUAAAUGGGCUAUAAUUUUUAUUUGUAUUUUUCUAUUAUUAUUAUCAUUAAUAAUAAUUGAUAGUAUUAUAAUAUUAUUAUAGUUUAGGUGAUUGUACACAUUAUCAUCAUCAUCAUAGGUGGAGAUUUAAUUUUUUAAUUUUUUUGGUUGGGGUGGACUAGAAAGUAUAAAAUAUUUUAAUGCCACUGGCUUUAUUAGUAUAUAACAAACAAAUUUUACGAGCGAGGUCUUUGGGUAGUUUUGAAGGGAGCUGAUCCCCUCUAUCUUCCCCAAUCUCCACCUAUGAAUUCAUUGUAUGUACUUAAUAUUAUUAUCAUU